rnacentral:lncRNA from 13 species
UUUUUCAUUCCUGUUGAUAUUGCCUAAAGUUUAAAAUUAUUCUGACAAUUGCUAUAGAAUCGCUGGAAUUUACUGAUAUAAGUUCAUAAAGGAACUUACUGAAUUGUUUCUAGAAAGUAUUUAAAUAAGCCGCCGAGCUUAGUACAGACUUUGUUUGACAGACGCUAAAAGCUACACACUGAUUUUUGGGUUUUUCUAUUCUAUCCAUAUUUCCUAAAGAUAUAUAAUUAUUCUGACAAUUGCUAUAGAAUCGCUCGAAUUUACUGAUAUAAGUUCAUAAAGGAAUUUACCGAAUUGUUUACAGAAAGUAUUUAAAUAAUUCACUGAACAACUCUUAGUUGUCUAGAAAUUCUAUCUAUAUUUCCUAAAGAGCUAGAAUUACUCUGAAAAUUGUUAUAGAACCGCAUAUAUUCACUGAUAUAUUGUUCCAAAAGGAAAUCGCCGAAUCAUUUCUAGAAAAUACCUACCUACCUCGCUGAACAAAUUCAAAUAAAAUACCGGAGAAACAGACACGUGGCGGGCGUCACAUACUGAUAACCCCCUUUGUAUGCGAGGGUGGGGGUGGAAGAGAUAAGCCACAGCCAGUACAGCAGUACAUCCCUGGUCUCGACCAGGGACGGGCUAAGCAUACAACGAUAGAAAUAAACACCACAUAGUAAGGAUUGAAUAUACCUAAAAUAACGCAUUAUACACAUUAUCAGACGAACUAGAUAAAAUGUCUGCAGCCACCACGCCCAAACUAAAAUUCAAUGAAUAUUUAGAUCAGAGUAUGAUUGAUAGAGCGGGAGGUAAAGAACAGUAUGGGAAAGUGGAGAAAGUGUGGAAAGGAUUAGGGAUAAGAUGGACACAAGCAGGUUAUUUUAGCGGAGGACCACCUACAGGGGGGAAACUCCAAGAUAUGCAGACAGAAUUAGAGGACGCAGUAGAGCAUGCAAAAGCGAGUGAGGCGGAGAGAAACAAGAUACACAGGUUCAAAAAAGUAGGUACGAGAGAGAGAGAGAGAGCGGAGGGGGAGCUCAAGAUAGGUACAUGGGCCAUACAGGAGAGUAGGAGGGUGCUACCCAAAAACACACCAGACAUGAUGUGCGUGGCUAUUGUGGCGUCGGGGGAUGUUAAAGCUCCGCCUGAGAACUUGCCCACGGCUCCCCCUGUGGCCGUUUCUCCCUCACUAUAUCCACAAUUGACAAUGGAGGCAGUUCAGCCCCCGCCAUACUCAAAGGGACAAAAUCACCGGAGCCCGUGAAUAGACCAAGGGGAGUUAAAAGGGGAAAUUACCC